rnacentral:rRNA from 1 species
GAUGAACGCUGGCGGCGUGCCUAAUACAUGCAAGUCGAGCGAACAGACGAGGAGCUUGCUCCUCUGACGUUAGCGGCGGACGGGUGAGUAACACGUGGAUAACCUACCUAUAAGACUGGGAUAACUUCGGGAAACCGGAGCUAAUACCGGAUAAUAUAUUUAACCGCAUGGUUCAAUAGUGAAAGACGGUUUUGCUGUCACUUAUAGAUGGCUCCGCGCCGCAUUAGCUAGUUGGUAAGGUAACGGCUUACCAAGGCAACGAUGCGUAGCCGACCUGAGAGGGGGAUCGGCCACACGGGAACGGAGACACGGUCCAGACUCCUACGGGAGGCAGCAGUAGGGAAUCUUCCGCAAUGGGCGAAAGCCUGACGGAGCAACGCCGCGUGAGUGAUGAAGGUCUUCGGAUCGUAAAACUCUGUUAUUAGGGAAGAACAAAUGUGUAAGUAACUAUGCACGUCUUGACGGUACCUAAUCAGAAAGCCACGGCUAACUACGUG